rnacentral:lncRNA from 1 species
GUUAAUAUCAUCUACCCUUCUCAAUAACCCCCCCCCCUCUUCGUCAAAAAUGAGUUCUGUUCCAUGAACUUCUUCAUACUCACGUGAAAAAGAUGAACACUUAAGUCAAGUCUAUCUUAAUAUCUCUCGAGAUCCAAUGGUAGGUAUAUACCAAUCAAUGGAGCAAUUAUGGUCCUGAGUGGAGAAUGGAUACAAUACCACACUUUUUUCAUUUAUAACUCUUAUUCGGUCGAAAAGAUCUCUAAUGAAGUGAAUGCAAGUUAUUAAUGCCGCCAUUAUCAAAAUGCAAGGAUGCGUUCGGCAAGUCGAACUUUUGAAACCAAGUGGUGUAUUAGAAGAAG